rfam:Hordeum vulgare subsp. vulgare, WGS project CAJW01000000 data, contig: morex_contig_1090575
GGAGGGGAAAGUGAUCUCUGACCGCGUGCCUGUUGAAGAAUGAGCCGGCGACUCAUAGGCAGUGGCUUGGUUAAGGGAACGGAACCCACCGGAGCCGUAGCGAAAGCGAGACUUAAUAGGGCGAUUGUCACUGCUUAUGGACCCGAACCUGGGUGAUCUAUCCAUGACCAGGAUGAAGCUUGGAUGAAACUAAGCAGAGGUCCGAACCGACUGAUGUUGAAGAAUCAGCGGAUGAGUUGGGGUUAGGGG